UACGAAGGGGGCUAGCGUUGCUCGGAAUCACUGGGCGUAAAGCGCACGUAGGCGGAUCUUUAAGUCAGGGGUGAAAUCCUGGAGCUCAACUCCAGAACUGCCUUUGAUACUGAGGAUCUCGAGUCCGGGAGAGGUGAGUGGAACUGCGAGUGUAGAGGUGAAAUUCGUAGAUAUUCGCAAGAACACCAGUGGCGAAGGCGGCCGACUGGUCCGGUUCUGACGCUGAGGCGCGAAAGCGUGGGGAGCAAACAGG
rnacentral:rRNA from 1 species